UACGUAGGGGGCGAGCGUUGUCCGGAUUUAUUGGGCGUAAAGAGCGUGUAGGCGGCCAGGUAGGUCUGCUGUGAAAACUCGAGGCUCAACCUCGAGACGUCGGCGGAAACCAUCUGGCUAGAGUCCGGAAGAGGAGAGUGGAAUUCCUGGUGUAGCGGUGAAAUGCGCAGAUAUCGGGAGGAACACCAAUUGCGAAGGCAGCUCGCUGGGACGUUACUGACGCUGAGACGCGAAAGCGUGGGGAGCAAACAGG
rnacentral:rRNA from 1 species